ACAUCUGGAAACCAGUUAUGUCGCCCGGGCGUUUUAUUUUCCUGAACAAUAAGAGAAAGCAUAAUUUUCUUUCGCUAAGCCCGCAUCCUCCGAUGGAUGUUCCGAAACCGCCAGGUGUGGAAUCUGCGCCCCGACAGCCCCACCUUGGCCCUCGGCCGCCCUCGGACGGCCAGCCCUCGGGACCAUUCCCCCCACACAUUGUGCCCGAAUUCACCCUGCCUGGCGAGUCGAGCUCACGCAGGGAAAAAGCACCCGUGACCACAGGGUGUUGGUCAUGGCGGCCAGGGGCACUGCGGCAGAAUUUUUUCCUCCCUUCUUUGCUGCAAUCUGGGUGCGGCUAGAGCAAUUUGUCAUAGAAUCUGGGGGGCUCAUUUUUCCGGCCAAUCACUUUUAGAGAAAUGAGCGCAUUGCAGCAGAAUGCGCUGACGUCAGAGACCACCCCUUCUGCGCCUCCAUAUAAACCCCACCCAGCCAGCCCCUAGCGCAGACGGCGGAGAGCGGAGAGGGAGCGCGCCUUGGCUUGCUGGCCUUGGCUGCGGCUCCUCGGGAGAGCUGGGGCGCCCACGAGAGGAUCCCUCACCUGGGUCUCUCCUCAGGGAUGACAUCAUACGUCCACCUCCUUGUCUUCAAGGACCACCUCCUCUUCAUGCCGAGCUGCUACCAAGGGGCCUGCUGCCCAUCUACGCCUUACGAGGGCACUAGGAGCAUGGAUUCCUGGAUCCCACCAGCAUACAAAGCAGCCACUGACUGACCCUCAGGACCAGGAUGGCAAAGGAUGAAGAGGACCGGAACUGACCAGCCAGCUGUCCCUCUUGCCUAAAGACUUAAACCAAUGCCCUAGUGAGGGGGCAUUGGGCAUUAAGCCUUGACCUUUGCUAUGCUCAUGCUGUGACUCUAUGAGUACUUUCCUAUAAGUCUUUGUGUUCACCUGCUAGCAAACUGGAGUGUUUCCCUCCCCAAGGGGGUGUCAGUCUUUGUUGACUGACUCUGUCAUCACCCUUACGAUGUCUUGAAUGGAAGGAUCCCUUUGGGAACUUCUCAGGAGGGGGACCUGGGCCAAGGGCUUGACCAGCAUCCUGCUGGCAACUCCAAGGCCCUGGGUGGGCUUCUGGAAUGAGCAUGCUACUGAAUCACCAAAGGCAUGUCCCACCUCUCUGGAGAUCUUUCUGUCCUUUUCUGGGGAAUGGGGUCGAUGGGAGCAACCUCCUAGGGUUGUUGUGAGAAUUAAAUGAGAUAAAAGAGGCCUCAGGCAGGAUCUGGCAUAGAGGAGGUGAUCAGCAAAUGUUUGUUGAAAAGGUUUGGCAGGUCAGUCCCUUCCCACCCCUCUUGCUUGUCUUACUCGUCUUAUUUAUUCUCCAACAGCACUCCAGGCAGCCCUUGUCCACGGGCUCUCCUUGCAUCAGGUUCCCAGUGCCCCCGACAAGCCCCGGCUGGUGUCUCCAUCUCCUGCCAAGCAUCCUCCAAUGCCUCCUCCUGUGGGCCUGGCCUCAGGGCUAUGGACAGAUGCCUCUCCCUUCCCAGAGACCCCUCGUGAUCGUGCCCUGGCACGUGGGCCGUGGCCUGGCUGGGUCAGCUGAAGAACUGCUGAUGGACGCCGCGGAAGAGGCCCCGAUGGGGCCCACCACCCUGGACCCAAGUCUUCUUCCUGGCGGGCCUCUCGUCUCCUUCGUGGUUUGGGCCGAAGCCAUCACCUGGAUUCCUCCGUGGGAACGGACCUCGGACGUGGGACCCCAGCCCCCCCUCCAGCUCGAAAUCCCUCCACAGCCACGGGGACGCCCUGCACCUAUUCCCACGGGACAGGCUGGACCCAGAGACUCUGGACCCGGGGCCUCCCCUUGAGUAGAGACCCGCCCUCUGACUGAUGGACGCCGCUGACCUGGGGUCAGACCCGCGGGCUGGACCCCUGCCCACCCCACAGGAACCCCGAGGCCUAGGGGAGCUGUUGAGCCUUCGGUGUCUGCAUGUGGGAAGUGGGCUUGUUCACCUACCUCACAGGGCUGUUGUGAGGGGCGCUGUGAUACGGUUCUAAAGCACGGGCUUGGCGCACCCCACUGUGCUCUCAAUAAAUGUGUUUCCUGUCUUAACAAAAA